UACGAAGGGGGCUAGCGUUGCUCGGAAUCACUGGGCGUAAAGCGUGCGCAGGCGGUUGUGCAAGACAGAUGUGGAAUCCCCGGGCUUAACCUGGGAACUGCAUUUGUGACUGCACGGCUAGAGUGUGUCAGAGGGGGGUAGAAUUCCACGUGUAGCAGUGAAAUGCGUAGAUAUGUGGAGGAAUACCGAUGGCGAAGGCAGCCCCCUGGGAUAACACUGACGCUCAUGCACGAAAGCGUGGGGAGCAAACAGG
rnacentral:rRNA from 1 species